AACACCAUUUAAAAAAAAACUAGAAUCCCCUCUUCUUUUUCUCUCAAACUUCCGACUCUUGGGGUUCUCUUCGCGCCGCCUUAACGCUCGUCGCACCGCCACCGCUUCCGACGGCCGAUGAAGCGUCAGAACGGGCGUUCAAAGCCCUGGCAGGUGAGUUUUUCUUUUACUUCUUUAUUUUCGUUAAAAAAUAAAAAUAAAAAAACAAUGAUAAAAAUAAAUAAAUAAAGAAAAACGAAAGAUUGUAAUCUAAAAACCAGGAAAUCACCUUGGUUUUCUUUACUUUUUAUUUCUUUGUAUUCGAAAAAAAGGAGAGAAAAGAAAUCGAAAAAAAAUGGCCUUUAUAGCCGAGUAUUACAAUCGUUUUCUUCUCUUUUUUUUCAUUUCUCUGUUGUUUCUACUUUUUGCCCCUGGUUGUUGCGUGUUUGGUCUUUGUUUUGCAGGUGCUGCAGGUGCAAGUGGGUGAGGCGACGUGACCGUGGCGGUGCUGGUCAGAGGCGGCAGUGGCAAGGCAAGUGGGCUAGGUGCGGCGGCUAGGGUUAGGGGGCUAGGGUUUUCAUUUGUUUUUUUUCUGAAAAUGGAUAUUGGGUUUUUUAGGUUUUGGGCCGUGGGUUAAUUUGGGCUUGUUUUUGGGUCUGUUUGGGUAGUGGUUAAUUGUUUUUGUUUUCUGAUUUGGGCCGGAUUGGGUUAAUAUUUUUGGUACUAGGCCCGGGUAAAAUUGGGUCUGUACA
rnacentral:lncRNA from 1 species